rnacentral:lncRNA from 1 species
AAUAUAAUAUUUGUUGAUAUUUGAGCUUUUAAAUUGGUCCAAAAAUAAUUUAUGAUAUGCGAAGCACUAUGUUUUGGAUUUUGGGUAAAAAUAGUGCAUUAGGUAUUUGAAAAUAUUUUCUCUAGCUCAAAUUUUUACUAUGUAUUUUAGAGCAAUUUAUAAGAUCGAGUGUAAAUAAAACAUUGCAUAGAUCCAUGAUAUUUUGUAAAAAAUAAAAAUA